UACGGAGGGUGCAAGCGUUAUCCGGAUUCACUGGGUUUAAAGGGUGCGUAGGUGGGUCUGUAAGUCCGUGGUGAAAUCUCCAAGCUUAACUUGGAAACUGCCAUGGAUAUUAUAGGUCUUGAAUACCGUGGAGGUGAGCGGAAUAUGUCAUGUAGCGGUGAAAUGCUUAGAUAUGAACAUAGAACACCAAUUGCGAAGGCAGCUCAC
rnacentral:rRNA from 1 species